GACGAACGCUGGCGGCGCGCCUAACACAUGCAAGUCGAACGAGAGAUGAGGAGCUUGCUCUUCAAAUCGAGUGGCGAACGGGUGAGUAACGCGUGAGGAACCUGCCUCAAAGAGGGGGACAACAGUUGGAAACGACUGCUAAUACCGCAUAAGCCCACGGCUCGGCAUCGAGCAGGGGGAAAAGGAGCAAUCCGCUUUGAGAUGGCCUCGCGUCCGAUUAGCUAGUUGGUGAGGUAACGGCCCACCAAGGCGACGAUCGGUAGCCGGACUGAGAGGUUGAACGGCCACAUUGGGACUGAGACACGGCCCAGACUCCUACGGGAGGCAGCAGUGGGGAAUAUUGCACAAUGGGGGAAACCCUGAUGCAGCGACGCCGCGUGGAGGAAGAAGGUCUUCGGAUUGUAAACUCCUGUUGUUGAGGAAGAUAAUGACG
rnacentral:rRNA from 1 species